rnacentral:pre_miRNA from 1 species
AGUGGAAUUGCUGGGUCAUAUGGUAACUCUAUAUUUAACAUUUUGGGGAAUUGCCAAACUGUUUUCCAAAGUGGCUGUACCAUUUUUAAUUCCCACUAGCAAU